rnacentral:tRNA from 1 species
AGUUCUAUGCCUGAUAAAAGGAUUAAAUUGUAAAUUUACUUAUGAAAGUUGUAUUUCUGGAACUA